ensembl:lncRNA PCDH10-DT PCDH10 divergent transcript
GCCCCGCAGGUCCCGAGGCGCUGGCUGGGGACAAUGCCGCGGAAAGUUCCCAGUCCCCAGCCGCAGAUCUGCAGAAUUGAAAUGAAAUGUUUUGAGCUCUUCAAGCUGACUCGUCAGAAUCCUGGAGCCUUUUAAAAAAUGACGAAUUGGAAGGAAAAAUUACUUUAUCAAUAACCAGGCUCCACCAGGAUUGACCUAGAUGGUUGUUCCUGGCACUUGUCAUUCUCAGCAAGCACAGCUCAGAGAACAAAUACAAAAGACCCAAAGUGCAUUGCAUCUUUUAUGGAAGUGCCCAAUGUGGAAAUCAUAGAUUUCAAGGAAGGAACAAGAAAAUUGAUGAAACAAGUUCAAAAGAAAGAAGCUUGGCCAAUUUGAUGUCAAUGGAAAUGCGUGAGAUUUUUAUUCAGCAUUCACACCUGAGCAAUGCUUUUGGUCAUGAUGUCAUACUAAGAAGAAACCACCUGAGAUGAGACUGUUAGAUGUUCAGAGCAAACAAAAACAAAAACAGACCAACAAAAAAAACCCAAAACAAAACAGAAGUUUCUGAAGGACAGCAGAAAUGGUCAUCUGUCUCUUUUUAAGAGAAAAAUAAUAUCCAAAGAAGUUCCACCACUCAGAAGACUUUUACAUUCCAUGUCUCAUUUGCCAGAAUUUCUUCUUACAAGCUGUAAACCAAUCAUGGUUAGGGUAAUGUAAUUACCUUGAUUUGUUUUUAAGUGAUAGAGUUUUCCUUCCUUUUUGAUGAUUUUACUAGGGAAGUGUGAACACUUGAACAACUCAGUCAGCAAUAAAGAAUGAGGUUAGGACUGGAUUUAGCUGGACAAUCAACAUUGUCUAAUAUAGACAGAAAAGAGAAAAACAGAGAGAAGAAAAGUGAGUUCGUUUAAUUUGUUGCUUAAACUGAUUGGAGUUGGAAUCCCGACCCCUUGUAGCUGGAAAAGUCCUGAUUACUUUUCCUGAUUGCUUGCAAAAUAGUGGUUCUUUAUUUCUUAUUUUGGUUAUAGUUUAUUUACAUAAUGUGACUUGAUAUCUGAGGGAUAAUUUUAGUUUUUAAGCCCAGUUGGGAUGCUGUAGAAUCAGUGGAGAAUGAGCAUGUGAUAUUUUAAGGAAUGAUGUCAUAUCUUUACCUGAGCCAGUUUGAAAGUGCACUGGGACUAAGAUGAGACACUUUCUUUGCUAUAUUAGUAUUCAGGAAUGCUAGUGGC